AUAGCAAUUACACGGCGAAACUGCGAAUGGCUCAUUAUAUAAGUUAUCGUUUAUUUGAUAGCACAUUACUACUUCGAUAACCGUGGUAAUUCUAGAGCUAAUACACGCUAAAAAUCCCGACUUCGGAAGGGAUGUAUUUAUUAGAUUAAAAACCAAUGCCCUCUGGGCUCUCUGGUGAAUCAUGAUAACUGCUCGAAUCGCAGGGCCUCGUGCCGGCGAUGGUUCAUUCAAAUUUCUUCCCUAUCAACUUUCGAUGUUUGGGUAUUGGCCAAACAUGGUUACAACGGGUAACGGAGGGUUAGGGCUCGACCCCGGAGAAGGAGCCUGAGAGACGGCUACUACAUCCAAGGAAGGCAGCAGGCGCGCAAAUUACCCAAUCCCGACACGGGGAGGUAGUGACAAUAAAUACUGAUACAGGGCUCUUUCGGGUCUUGUAAUUGGAAUGAGUACAAUUUAAAUCCCUUAACGAGGAACAAUUGGAGGGCAAGUCUGUGC
rnacentral:rRNA from 2 species